rnacentral:rRNA from 1 species
UACGUAGGGUGCAAGCGUUAAUCGGAAUUACUGGGCGUAAAGGGCGCGUAGGCGGCACUGUUAGUCAGGCGUGAAAGUCCUGGGCUCAACCUGGGAACUGCGCUUGAUACGGCAGAGCUAGAGGAUGGAAGAGGGUCGCGGAAUUCCCAGUGUAGAGGUGAAAUUCGUAGAUAUUGGGAAGAACACCGGUGGCGAAGGCGGCGACCUGGUCCAUUACUGACGCUGAGGCGCGACAGCGUGGGGAGCAAACAGG